CUGCGUGCUACUGCAUGAAGACUGUAACUGACCUUCUCAUUCCUGCAUUUCCCAGAAUCCACUUGUACUUUGUUUCACUAAAUGGCCUGGAGAGGAAGCGCUAUGUGAGUGUCCUGUCACAGGUGGCAAGCAGCGCUGCAGUGACAGAUCACAGCGACAAGUCAAGGUGAAUGCCAUUUAUCUCUGGCAGGAUCGUGCCACUGUGGCCCACCCAUGCGAUCUACUUUCACUAUUAGUGAAGCAUGAGCUCCUUAAAAUCUCGCUUGCUGGAACAUCUACAGAGUUGCAAAUUACCCCCUAAGGAUUUGUGAAAGUAACAUAAGGACCGUCUCUCAGUCUAACAACUCAGUCCAGCAAAGUGACAUGAAAGCUCAGUGUCAGGACAUGCAAAAAAAUAACCAGGAUCAUCUCAUGAGGCAAAGGGAAGCGAUCAGAUGCAGACUGAAGAAACUGAA